rnacentral:rRNA from 1 species
AAAUGAAUUGACCGGAGCUCGCACAAGCGGUGGAGCAUGAGGUUUAAUUCGAGGGCACGCGAUGAACCUUACCAGGGCUUGACAUGCUAAUGAAAGUCUUUCGAAAGAUAGACCCUCCGCAAGGACAUUAGCACAGGUGCUGCAUGGUUGUCGUCAGUUCGUGGCGUGAGUUGUACCCUUAAGUGGGGUAACGAACGCAACCCCUAUCCUAUGUUAAAUAUGUCAUAGGAGACCGCCCCCUCCUAAGUUUUUGAAUCUUUCAAGAAUUUAGGAGGGGGAGGAAGGUGGGGAUGACGAUUGAUCAGCAUGGCCCUUUGACGCCCUGGGCGACACUCAUGCUACAAUGGAAAUUACAAAGGGUAGCCAAACCGUAAGGUGGAGCCAAUCCCAAAAAAAUUUCCUCAGUUCAGAUUGAGGUCUGCAACUCGACCUCAUGAAGCUGGAAUCGCUAGUAAUCGCGGGUCAGCCAUACCGCGGUGAAUAUGUUCCCGAGCUCUGUACACACCGCCCGU